rnacentral:rRNA from 1 species
AAACAGCGGAGAGUUUGAUCCUGGCUCAGGAUGAACGCUAGCGGCAGGCUUAACACAUGCAAGUCGGGCGGCAGCAGGG